rnacentral:rRNA from 1 species
GACGAACGCUGGCGGCGUGCUUAACACAUGCAAGUCGAACGGAAAGGCCCAGCUUGCUGGGUGCCCGAGUGGCGAACGGGUGAGUAACACGUGGGUGAUCUGCCUCUAACUUCGGGAUAAGCUUGGGAAACUGGGUCUAAUACCGGAUAGGACAAUCGUUUAGUGUCGGUUGUGGAAAGUUUUUUCGGUUAGGGAUGAGCCCGCGGCCUAUCAGCUUGUUGGUGGGGUAAUGGCCUACCAAGGCGUCGACGGGUAGCCGGCCUGAGAGGGUGGACGGCCACAUUGGGACUGAGAUACGGCCCAGACUCCUACGGGAGGCAGCAGUGGGGAAUAUUGCACAAUGGGCGCAAGCCUGAUGCAGCGACGCCGCGUGGGGGAUGACGGCCUUCGGGUUGUAAACCUCUUUCGACAGGGACGAAGCUUUGGUGACGGUACCUGUAUAAGAAGCACCGGCUAACUACGUG